AACUAACCAAAAUUUAUCAACAUUUCGAGCCAUAUAUAACAUAAUUAAUCACAAAAUUACCCAUUUAACCUCGAUGAUUUUCUGAAAAAUCGUAAUUAAAAAUCACCUGUACAUGUUAUUAUAGUGAUAAUAAAUUCAAACCUAUGAACAUACACCAAACAAAAAGAAACAAACAUACAUUAUUUUUUUUUUUUUCAAGUGUUUCUUCAUUCAUUGUAGUGCUAAACAAUCUACAAUUACAGACAAUCUGAGAAUUGAAAUCUUCCAGAAUUC
rnacentral:lncRNA from 1 species